AGCGUGCGCGGACGGCGCAGGGGCAGCAGUUGGGACCCCAGCGUCCCAUCGGCCGUUGCCGUGGCCGUUGCCGUGGCCGUUCCCUUCGCCCGCUGCAGCGGCAGGAAGCUGGCGAACAACUGUAAGGCGGCAGCGACCGUUGUGUCUCGGGGUUCGGCCUGCGCGAGGGCCCUCUGGGACACUUCCAGGCGAGAUAGGUUCGGAGGCUCGCGAUCCUGAAGGACCUCUCGUUCGCGGCUCCCGGCGGGCCUGGAGAGCGCUCGGGCAAGCCUCGGCUCUGGGCUGCUGCCGGGCCGCCUGGGUCCCGGAGCUCUUGGGUCUACACUCCGAAGUCCCCCGUCCCUCACGCUUGGGAACUUCUGCGACGCGGAGGAAUCUUCUUUAAGGGGAGAUUACUCCACACAAGAAAACAACGCAAGAUGAACUCGAUUUUGAAGGUUUAUCCCAAAGGAAAACUUCGAAAGCAUCUCUUUAUCCUUUAUCUACGAACUACUUGACGUAUUUCAGAAAGAGAAAAGGUUUUACCGAAAAAUUUGUAGUUCCUUAAAUUGUUGUUUAUAUACUUAUUUUACUUCAAAUCGGUAUCCAAAGUACCCAUUCUUUUUUUUUUUUUCCGUCCUAAAUUAGCCCACGAGGAAGCUCUCAAUGUGACAGUUUUGUCCACCUCUCACAAAUCUUUUAAGUGAAGGUGAAGCAGCUGAGAUAGCGCAUCUGUCACCCGAUGUUAGUCAGUUUGGUAUCUGAUUUUGAGAAGACUCUAUUUUAAGUUUGUAUAAUCAGACUAAUCAAAAGCCAGGAUUGCUUAGUAUGCAAGCUGUACUGCAACAAGAAGCGCCCAAAUAUGGACUGGACAGACCAGUUGCUAAAGCGGUCCUUUGGAAGAAGAAACCUGCUUGAAAUCACCAAAAAUAAUUCUGUGGAGGGCAUCUGAAUCAUGAUGGAGGGGAAAAAAUCUGGAUUCUGGAAAAGAAGACAAGAAUUGUGAAAGAAGAUGAAAGAGAUGAACAUUGCAGAGAUGUCAGCAACAAAACUGAAAGAGAGAAAGAGAAGCAGAAAAAGGAACAGCAGAACGAGAAACCUGAUUUUUGAUCUGAUGAUCACCAUGAGUCAACUGCAGCUGUAUAGAGGUGAACAACCUGAGAAAAGUUAUUGGGCUUUUGUUUUCCAUCCACUAUGGAGCAAGGUAAUCAUUUGGGAAAAUCUUUCAGAGGUAGAAUUACAAGGGACAGCUUAUGAGAAAGUUACAACCGAAUUCAAGCUCCAUAAAAUAGAAAAUUACACUCAUAUACAUGGCUUUAAUUUCUCAGGUUUAACUCUUAUCCCUCCAAUAAUUUUGUCUUCUCCUGGCACCUAUCAGAAAUGGCCAUUUCUGAUCAUGUACAUCAUGCACAGGGAUUUGGGGGGGGGGGGUAUUAUGUUCAUAUAUAAAGGAAAGAGGGGAGCAGGGACAAUGAAAUUAGAACAACUACAGAAUUACAAUUAUAGAAUGUAUGGGGCAUUGGGUUAUUCAUAUGAAUUUAUUAUUGAAUCUAUAAAGAGACUGGAACAAGUUAAAUGUACUCCCAGUCUGUGGGAUAAUGCCAUCAAGACCCAUCCUUUGUGGACUGUAGAACUCCACACAGGACUUGUUAUUCAAUAGAUCAAAAUACCACUUUGCAAAGCUGGCAUAAUAACUCUUGAGGACUUUCCCGUCUAUCAGGGGUAUCUGUUCCCCCGUGGAUACCUCCUGACAGCCCAGCUGACCAACAGACAUGGAAGAUUCUAGCAGCCAUGGAUAAGGUUACUUUGGGUUCCAAAACACCAAAGAGGCAGCUGGUAGUAUGAAGAGUUGACAUGCUUUACUUGUCUAAAUGAGCCUCAUGCCUUGGUGGUAGGAUUUAAUAGUUCUGUUAGCAUUAGGGAUAAUAAGGCCCUGCAAGUCCUUUUAAUGCUACAAGCCCAUACAAUGUUACUUGUCAUGAUUGCAGUGUUACUAAUUGUAUUUCAAAACUAGGACCAGAAAAAUUGAUAUUUAUCAUUACUAGCCCUUUGCGCUGAUGCCAGUAAAAAUGAAGGGGAGGUACAGAAUACAAGCUGAUCAUGUACUAAGUGAAUUGGUUGAAAGGUUGUUGAGUAUGCAGACUGUCAGGAAACCAUGAGAAUACAAAACAAUUAGAGGAAAGAGACAAGAUAUCUGCUACUCAGGAUGCCACACAAGAAUUAUUGGCUCAAAGCAUUUUUUAUGAGGCCAUUUGCCAAGAAACUGACAGGGGCAGGAGAUAUUAUAAUUAAAAUCCCUGGAAUGGAAAGUGAUGAAGUAAUCCAGUUGUUGAUGGAGAAGAUCAUAAAAUAUUAAUAUCAAGCUUAAAAAAGGCUGAAGACUUAUAUACCAAAGGAAAAUGAACCAAUGUUCUAUCUUAACAGAAUUAAAAUACCAGAAAACCAACAAGUUACAUAUUUAGAAGGAAAAUUAAAAAAGGUAAAUGAGAGAGGGCUACACAAAAAUAUAAACUGUCAGUGGAACAAAAUGUAGACUGACGUCAUCAAAAAACACCAAAUCCAAGGCUUAGCACUUUACCGGGAGAAGAACCAUCAUCUUGAAAUUCCAAAGGGGACACAAAAUUCCUAAAAUGCCUAAAUUCCAUCCCUAAAAAUAAAAAAACAAAAAAUGUUAGAUCACUUAGGAGUCACAAUUUCCUUAAAAAUUAGAUCAAAUAAAGAGUAACUUAUCACCACCAGCCAGCAAGGAUCCCAAAACACAUAAGAACUUAAUUGCAAAGUGAAAAGUAUUCUUCAAUAGGAGGUAACAAAAUGCCAAGUCUGAAGCCAGAUAUGUGUCCAGAUGAGAUGAUUGCCCCAAGAACCUGAGUAAACAUCAAGCAUGAGCUAAGAGGCAUGAAGGAUAAAGUAAUAAAAACCCCAAAGCAAAAAAUAAAAUCAAUCUGAAGUGGCAUCAGGGAACUUAGGAUGACUCUACAAGGACAAGACAAGGAAGUAGCAGAUUCUGAUGAGAUGAUGGGAAAACUUAGAAAAAUCUUAGGACAAACCAAAGCAAGUAGUAUGUUUUGCCUCCAAUGUCAAAAGUCCAAAAAAAGCUGAUAAGGGCAGUAAAGCAAAUUGAGAUGGAAGAGCUCACCAAUGCUGAAGCUUAUGAAGACUCCCAAAUGAAAAUGUGAGCUUGGUGAGCAUCUAACAGUGGUCAAGAGACUGAUGAGAACCCCUCAGAACAAGGCAGAACCAGAGGAGAUUGCGGUGUGCAGUGAAAAACUGCUGAAGACUCCUAAGGAAAAAGAUCCUCUGGUAACCAUAGGAAGAGUCACAGAAGCAACAGAAAUGUCAAGCAGGAGGUUCCAAAGCAAAAAGCUCACUCAUCUGAAGAUCUGGAUCUGUUGGACCACAGGAGACUUCUAAGGAAAACUUAGAAUCACCCUUCGAAUUGGUCAAAGAACAAGAAUGCCUCUUGAUUAAAUAACGAAUCAGAAAAAGAUCUGACCAGGAUCAGAAGACCAAUAGAAAAUAUGAAAAGUGUUAAGCAGUCUCCUAAAACAGUGAAGCAGAAAUGUGUGUUCAGUAGAACACAUGGUGGUGGGUAUCAAGAAGCUUAACAAAACUCUGAAGGCAGAAUCAAUAGAACAUAAUAUGGCAGGCCUCUUUUGGAGACUUAUGAGAAAACUGAAAGAAAAGAUAAAACUUUUGAAAAUUCCCAAAGAUGAUCUAAAUAUCAUGAAUAUUCCUAAUAAAAAGGGAGAGUCAACAGACAAUUUUGACAGCUAUUACUAUCUUUAUGGAGAUUCCAAAUAAAGGAGAAGACAUGAAUAAUGCACAAGAAAUAUCUGAUAGAUUCCGAAUUCUCAGAUUAUUAACAUGAACUAAAGAUCCUAAGAAGGAAAGCAGUAAGAGGUUUCAGUACUUCAAAUCAAGAACAUCUAAUAAUUGAAAAAAAUACUAUAACCACCAAAGGGAACUCACUUGGUGGUUGGGGGUGUUAGGAAUAAGUUGCAGAAACCAAGAAAGUAGAGGAGGAUGUCUUCAAUUUAAAGACACUUUCAAGAUUAAAAGAAUCCUACUGUGAAGUAGACGGUACUGAGAUUAAAGAGAUGUUCAAGCCACUAAAGGAAAAAAGCAAGGGUUACACCUGAGGAAUUUCACCUAAUGGAUAAAAAAAAUUUAGAAGAAUUUUAAAAUGAUGCAACACAAAAUGGAGAAUCAUCUUCAAAAUCUAUACUUUCAAAAUCCAGAACUUGUGCCAAAAAAGCACAGAAAAUUUCUUAGGAAUCUUUAAAAAUUCAGUGGCACCUGUAUGAAUUCUGCCUUUAACUAGAAAGAGAUACAAAGUUGAUAAAGAACUGCAAGAAAUUCCUCUUAUACUUAGUGCAACAGAGAUAGAGACAGUUGAAGCAGAUGAAGAAAGGCUUUCAGGCCUGGAAAAUAAACUGAGAUGUAAAGCAAAGGAUACAACAAGAGUUCUUUAGAACUGAAAUUAGAACUAAAGCAGAAGUUAUUUAUAUUUUCCUUGCUUAGUGCAACCCAAAUAGUUUACACUGACAAAAGGGAGAAAGAAAUAGAGACAAUCAUAACAGAUUGAGUACUUAUUAAAGAUCUGGCAUUUUUAAAAUCCAGAUAUAGAAACAAAAGAUGCAGAAUUAAUAGGAUCUGAUCUUUUACCUGAGACCAAGGACAUUUCAAACAAUUGCUCAAACAGAGGAGGCAUAAAAACAUAAAAGAAUAAAAGUGAUAAGGAUCUGCAAAAAUCUGCUAAUCUUGGCAAAGAUGACCCAUCCAAUACUGUAACAGCAGAAAAAGCCAAAAACUGGAAGAAAGUUAAUUCUACUUUUUUGACAAAGGAAAAAAUUAAGGACUACUAACAUCAAAACAGAGGCAAUUGCCGUUGAAAAUGUUCCUAUCUCACACAGUUAUCUUCUGAAAUCUGCCCAAGUAUAAGACGUGUUCAAAGUGAUUUUUUUCCAUCAGUAAAAGAAAACACAAACAAGACUUAAGAAAAUAAUUUAUCAGGCCAUGAAAUUUGGCCCAAAAUAUUAAUAACCAGGAUGAUUCCAGCUAUCUGGAAUGAGAAACUCUUAGUUCUAGAAGGGGUUGCACCCUAAAGAAAAUCAGACCAACCAUCAAAAGUUCAAAGCAGAAUAACCACAAGAUAAAGAAGAGUUCUCUGUGAAACCUAAGAGAAAAGAAAAUGAAGAUGUUCAUUUUGUUAAUCGAUAAAAUAUAAUUUUAAAGCACUUUAUCCUGCUUAUCAAGAAGAUAUACUUGUUAUAGAAAUGAGAAAAAAAGGAUAAAAUAAAAUGAGGAUAGAGAAAUUUGAAGAAGUACUUCGUUAACUUAGUUUGAGUGAAAAUAUGACAAUGGAGUAUAUUUUGAUCACUUGUCACAAAUUUUGAAGUUUUGAAAAUAGAGCGUGCAGAGAUUUCCCACCUCUAUUUCAUUAAGUUAAUUUUGCCCAGCUAAUUCUUAACAAUGUAUUACUCAUGGCAAGAUGUUUUUUUUUAAAGGGAAACUUUCUUCAUAACAUGAAAACUUUUUGUGUGAGUUCAUUUAAUUUACUUACUCAUGUUUGUGGUAAAUUAUAUACAUGAAUUUUCAUAUCAGUCCCAGGAAAGUGGCACAGUGGAUAGAAUGUGGGCCUGG